UUGAACGCUGGCGGCAUGCCUUACACAUGCAAGUCGAACGGCAGCAUGGGUGCUUGCACCUGAUGGCGAGUGGCGAACGGGUGAGUAAAGCAUCGGAACGUACCGUGUAGUGGGGGAUAACGUAGCGAAAGUUACGCUAAUACCGCAUACGCACUGAGGUGGAAAGCAGGGGAUCGCAAGACCUUGCGCUAUACGAGCGGCCGAUGUCAGAUUAGCUAGUUGGUAGGGUAAAGGCCUACCAAGGCGACGAUCUGUAGCGGGUCUGAGAGGAUGAUCCGCCACACCGGGACUGAGACACGGCCCAGACUCCUACGGGAGGCAGCAGUGGGGAAUUUUGGACAAUGGGCGAAAGCCUGAUCCAGCCAUGCCGCGUGAGUGAAGAAGGCCUUCGGGUUGUAAAGCUCUUUCGGCUGGGAAGAAAUCGCACAGGCUAAUACUCUGUGUGGAUGACGGUACCAGCACAAGAAGCACCGGCUAACUACGUG
rnacentral:rRNA from 1 species